rnacentral:lncRNA from 1 species
GCCAAAGAAGUCCACUUUGAAAUCUGCACAGAAAGCUCCUCUUUCUUCUUCUCCUUGCUGCGGCAGUGAGGGUUUAGGGGCUGUUUGGAUGUGAUUUCGGUUUAGGGAUGGAUUUGGGAUGAUAUGGUGGUUCGGCAAAGGGUAAGGGAGUGUAUGGUGGUGCUGCAAAGUGGGGUAGGUUGCUGGAAUGGAUGAGUGGCGGCUGGAAUGGAUGGAUUUUGGGUGAUGGUGGCUGCGGCAAAAGGUGGGGAAAAGGAGAGAUGGUUUUCUGAUUUUUUUUGGAGAGGGGAAGAUCUAUGCGGCUAGGGUGAAGGGUGGAUAUAUAGGCACUUAGAAACCCUAAUGAAAUCAGAUUUUAAACAAUGGGCUAGGGUUUAGGGUUUGUAAAAUAGGGCUUCUAGGUGAAAGGUGCGGCUUGGGUUAGGAGAAAUGGACUAGGGUUUAACAUGGCAGAUUUUAGAUGAUU